rnacentral:siRNA from 1 species
GAGAUUACAUCAGGUAUUAGUGG